ACUUAAUACGAUACUGAGGCUGUGACCGCUUUUCGACUCUGUCACUCGUCUGAACUUGUGCGGUGGUUCGUGCCGCGCGCGCUUUGUUGGAAGCAUUUUUCUUUUGUUUUUGGACAUCAUGACGCAAGUUUUAGUGAAAUUGCUCUAUGAUGAUAAGUGGGAUGUUUAUCCGUUGAAGACGUUUGCUGACGCAGCUACUGGUCUUCGGGUGAUGUUCGAGCCUUGCAGUUUUGAUGAGUUGCGCGGCAGAAUUCAUGAUGGAAGGAAGGCGAACAAAGCCGCAGCCUGACUUCUGCACACAGGCAAACCGCAUGCCCUGGAGCGAAAGCGCGCGAAGCUAGCGCUUGCUGCCGCCGCUGCUUCGAUUGGAAUGUUACACAUGCACCAAAUGCCCAGGUGCUAACGUGUCGUUCGUCAAGAACAGCUUGGCGUCGUUUCUCGCAAGAGACAUCCAUUGAUCUGCGGCUGAUUCACCAGGAAGCUCGUAUCUCUGUUGCCACUCUGCGUCAAGUGGGAUUUUUAACUAUUUUUUAUUCUGCCCUGUGGUGUACGCUGUGACGCUGUGAAGACUUACUUUCAUGGACGCUGUGAAGGCUUACUUUCGAUGUGUUCUGCCUUUUAGUUGUAAAGAAUUGGCUACCUUGUGAGUGGAGGUAGUUCCUUUUUCUUGUGAGAAUGUUUAUCAGCCUAACCAAGUGGUACAUGCGUACUUGAAGCAGCAGCACAGACGAGGAUAAUGAAAUAAGUAAGAACACAUACAAGCGCCGACUCAACUAGAAGUUUAUUCUUGAAGACAGGUUGUAAACACAUUGGAACUUGACAAAGAUAAGAAACCAUGUAUGCGUGGCCUUUGUGAUUAAACAAAAUUGUGUUUUCUGCUGUAAGGGGUAGAACGAACAAUUGUUUCAUCACAAAGACCAGAACACAAGAGAAAUUAUGGAAGCCUUAUUUAUUGAUUGCAAAGAAGACAAAUGCAUAAGCUAUCUGUUGCUCUUAAUAGGAAAGAGUUGGGAUUUUUAAAAGAACUCUCCUUGUUUGGUGGUAUCA